UACGUAGGGGGCAAGCGUUGUCCGGAAUUAUUGGGCGUAAAGCGCGUGUAGGCGGUCCGGUAAGUCGGUUGUGAAAGUCCAGGGCUCAACCCUGGGAUGCCGACCGAUACUGUCGGACUAGAGUUCGGAAGAGGCGAGUGGAAUUCCCGGUGUAGCGGUGAAAUUCGUAGAUAUCGGGAGGAACACCAGUGGCGAAGGCGGCGACCUGGACAGAUAUUGACGCUGAGGUGCGAAAGCGUGGGGAGCAAACAGG
rnacentral:rRNA from 1 species